rnacentral:rRNA from 1 species
GAUGAACGCUGGCGGCGUGCCUAAUACAUGCAAGUCGAGCGAACGGACGAGAAGCUUGCUUCUCUGAUGUUAGCGGCGGACGGGUGAGUAACACGUGGAUAACCUACCUAUAAGACUGGGAUAACUUCGGGAAACCGGAGCUAAUACCGGAUAAUAUUUUGAACCGCAUGGUUCAAAAGUGAAAGACGGUCUUGCUGUCACUUAUAGAUGGACCCGCGCUGCAUUAGCUAGUUGGUAAGGUAACGGCUUACCAAGGCAACGAUGCAUAGCCGACCUGAGAGGGUGAUCGGCCACACUGGAACUGAGACACGGUCCAGACUCCUACGGGAGGCAGCAGUAGGGAAUCUUCCGCAAUGGGCGAAAGCCUGACGGAGCGACGCCGCGUGAGUGAUGAAGGUCUUCGGAUCGUAAAACUCUGUUAUUAGGGAAGAACAUAUGUGUAAGUAACUGUGCACAUCUUGACGGUACCUAAUCAGAAAGCCACGGCUAACUACGUG